AUUGAACGCUGGCGGCAGGCCUAACACAUGCAAGUCGAACGAGUGGCGGACGGGUGAGUAAUGUCUGGGAAACUGCCUGAUGGAGGGGGAUAACUACUGGAAACGGUAGCUAAUACCGCAUACCAUCGGAUGUGCCCAGAUGGGAUUAGCUAGUAGGUGGGGUAACGGAUCACCUAGGCGACGAUCCCUCGAUGGUCUGAUAGGAUGACCAGCCACACUGGAGCUGAUACACGGUCCAGACCCCUACGGGCGGCAGCAUUGGGGAAUAUUGCACAAUGGGCGGAAGCCUGAUGCAGCCAUGCCGCGUGUAUGAAGAAGGCCUUCGGGUUGUAAAGUACUCUCAGCGGGGUGGCGUUACCCGCAGAAGAAGCACCGGCUAACUCCGUGCCAGCCGCCGCGGUAAUUC
rnacentral:rRNA from 1 species